rnacentral:rRNA from 1 species
GACGAACGCUGGCGGCGUGCUUAACACAUGCAAGUCGAACGGAAAGGCCCUGCUUUUGUGGGGUGCUCGAGUGGCGAACGGGUGAGUAACACGUGAGUAACCUGCCCUUGACUUUGGGAUAACUUCAGGAAACUGGGGCUAAUACCGGAUAGGAGCUCCUGCUGCAUGGUGGGGGUUGGAAGGUUUCGGCGGUUGGGGAUGGACUCGCGGCUUAUCAGCUUGUUGGUGGGGUAGUGGCUUACCAAGGCUUUGACGGGUAGCCGGCCUGAGAGGGUGACCGGCCACUUUGGGACUGAGAUACGGCCCAGACUCCUACGGGAGGCAGCAGUGGGGAAUAUUGCACAAUGGGCGGAAGCCUGAUGCAGCAACGCCGCGUGCGGGAUGACGGCCUUCGGGUUGUAAACCGCUUUCGCCUGUGACGAAGCGUGAGUGACGGUAAUGGGUAAAGAAGCACCGGCUAACUACGUG